CAGCAGCCGCGGUAAGACAGAGGGUGCAAGCGUUGUCCGGAAUUACUGGGCGUAAAGCGUCCGUAGGUGGUAUAGAAAGUCUGUUGUUAAAUCCCACAGCUCAACUGUGGAUCGGCAAUGGAAACUACUAAACUUGAGUGUGGUAGGGGUAGAGGGAAUUCCUAGUGUAGCGGUGAAAUGCGUAGAUAUUAGGAAGAACACCAGUGGCGAAGGCGCUCUACUGGGCCAUAACUGACACUGAUGGACGAAAGCUAGGGGAGCGAAAGGGAUUAGAUACCCCUGUAGUCCUAGCUGUAAACGAUGGAUACUAGGUGUUGGCCGUAUCGACCCGGCCAGUAUCGAAGCAAACGCGUUAAGUAUCCCGCCUGGGGAGUACGCACGCAAGUGUGAAACUCAAAGGAAUUGACGGGGGCCCGCACAAGCGGUGGAGUAUGUGGUUUAAUUCGAUGCAACGCGAAGAACCUUACCAGGGAUUGACAUCCUACCAAUCCUCUUGAAAGGGAGGAGUGCCUUCGGGAGCGUAAAGACAGGUGGUGCAUGGCUGUCGUCAGCUCGUGUCGUGAGAUGUUGGGUUAAGUCCCGCAACGAGCGCAACCCUCGUCCUUAGUUGCCAUCAUUAAGUUGGGCACUUUAAGGAGACUGCCGGUGACAAACCGGAGGAAGGUGGGGAUGACGUCAAGUCAUCAUGCCCCUUACAUCCUGGGCUACACACGUACUACAAUGCAACGGACAAAGGGCAGCCAACUAGCGAUAGUGCGCUAAUCCCAUAAACCGUUGCUCAGUUCAGAUUGCAGGCUGCAACUCGCCUGCAUGAAGGCGGAAUCGCUAGUAAUCGCAGGUCAGCAUACUGCGGUGAAUACGUUCCCGGGCCUUGUACACACCGCCCGUCACACCAUGGAAGUUGGCCACGCCCGAAGUCGUUACCCCAACCCUUGGGAGGGGGACGCCGAAGGC
rnacentral:rRNA from 1 species